rnacentral:rRNA from 1 species
CCUACGGGGGGCAGCAGUAGGGAAUCUUCCACAAUGGACGAAAGUCUGAUGGAGCAACGCCGCGUGAGUGAAGAAGGGUUUCGGCUCGUAAAGCUCUGUUGGUAGUGAAGAAAGAUAGAGGGAGUAACUGGCCUUUAUUUGACGGUAAUUACUUAGAAAGUCACGGCUAAAUAAGUGCCAGCAGCCGCGGUAAUAAGUAGGUGGCAAGCGUUGUCCGGAUUUAUUGGGCGUAAAGCGAGGGCAGGCGGGUCACAA